rnacentral:rRNA from 1 species
UUCGAAACUGGCAGGCUUGAGUCUUGUAGAGGGGGGUAGAAUUCCAGGUGUAGCGGUGAAAUGCGUAGAGAUCUGGAGGAAUACCGGUGGCGAAGGCGGCCCCCUGGACAAAGACUGACGCUCAGGUGCGAAAGCGUGGGGAGCAAACAGGAUUAGAUACCCUGGUAGUCCACGCCGUAAACGAUGUCUACUUGGAGGUUGUGCCCUUGAGGCGUGGCUUCCGGAGCUAACGCGUUAAGUAGACCGCCUGGGGAGUACGGCCGCAAGGUUAAAACUCAAAUGAAUUGACGGGGGCCCGCACAAGCGGUGGAGCAUGUGGUUUAAUUCGAUGCAACGCGAAGAACCUUACCUGGUCUUGACAUCCACAGAAGAAUCCAG